AAAACGUACAUCAUGUUUGUUCCAGAAAUCGUGGCACCUCAGUUCCCUCGUAGUAUACAAAUCCAAUAUCAGAUGUUACAAUGAAAUAUUUAAUUUCCAUACUAUAUAUUUUUUUGAAAUGUAUAAACAUGGUAAAACUUUAUAUGAAGGUGUUGAUAAGGUAAAGGGAAGCAAUGAAGCCAAAAUUUAAUAAGCACUAGUUUUAUACUGCAGGGUAAUAUAUAAUGACAUGAAGUAUGAAGUGACAAAAAAUGAAAGUAAAGUUACCACAAGAGGGAGCAUUGGAGCUACAGUAGCUGUUCUAAUCCAUUAAGUGUCAUUGUCCUCACUUGAGGACAGGAUACUUUGUAAUUUAUUCGUAGCAUUUUUAACUGAUAUCUACUGUUUAUUUUAAUUUUCACUUUAACUAUAUUGUUAUGAUAACUUACUCUAAUUUUGCAACUGCUAAUUGCAAAUACAGCCCUUCGGAUGCUUUUAUGACGCUUCAAUAUAAAAUAUGCAGUUGAAGCCUACAGUGAUCAGUUUCUUGGUGUUUUCCCACCCACAGUGAUGACAAAGGUCUAUUUGCUAUGUGUUGAGCUUCAUAGCCAGUGCGACAUUUCACUGGCAGGUCUAACUUGACUGUCCUCAAAAUAGGACACAGUAGGUUGCAGUCAAAAUGAAGUAUUUACUUUUUUUCUGUGAUUUAGAAUUUAUCUGAUUACAUAAAUGCAGCUUGUGAUGUGAUUUUUUCAAAGAAAUUUGUAUUUGGUACUUGGGUUAAACAAAACCAUUAAAUCAUUUAUUUAUUUAUUUAUUCACCAGAAAGAUUGUAUUUGAAUUUUUAUUUUUUUUAAUAUUAUGAAUGACAACUUUACUCUAAAUUGUAGCAUUUUUUUUUUUCCCCCAUAAAGAGAUAAGCAUCAGUUGCAAUUACAAAAUGAGUUAUAGCCAUCUUGUUUUCAAGGCUCACAAGAACAGUACAUUGAAUAGACAGAUACAUACAGUAAGUUAGAAACAAGCAAAAUACUCAUGAUAAAUUAAAUAAUUGAAACAGACAAUAUUAAGCUCAAGACACAGAAGUAAUGAUUUGGUAAUGGGGUUUAACCAUGCAUGGUAACACUAUCUUUACAGAGUCUGACUUGUAUUCAGCUGAUGUAGAAGCAAAGGGAAAUGAAACGCUCUCAGAAAAUGAAGACAUAUCCCCUGAUCAAUGCUCCCAGGCAGCUAUGACUGCAGACUUAGGAAAGGGCCCCUGCAGAAUUUAUAAGUUUCGUGUUCACCGUGGCUAAUGGUGGGAUUUUCCACCCCACCCCUCCAACAACAUUAAAUAAGGCAGGAAACCAUGAGGGGCACUGUCUACUUCCUGCUCAAAUGAGGCCCUGGUUUUAUGGUUUUGCUAUAAUGUGGCCAUCAGACUAUUUUUUUUCCUCUCCCUGACAGAUUUAAACCUGAUGCUAUCAGUGAGGGAGAUGUUAAAAGUACAGGCUUCCUGGAACUUGAUAUACAUCUCAGACAUUGCCAGGUGAAGGGAACAUUGUCAGCCUUGGAAGGAAAAAGCAUAAUUGCCUUCCAACAGGCAGCGGGAAAACCAGAGAGGCGGUGUACAUUACCAAAGAACAUCUGGUUAAAAUAAAGGCAAAGGAAACACCUGGGAAAGU